GCGUCUGUAGCUCAGUUGGUUAGAGCACCACCUUGAUAUGGUGGGGGUCGAUGGUUCGAGUCCAUUCAGACGCACCA
rnacentral:tRNA from 1 species